AUGACAACAGUAUCACCAUCCUCAGCGCAGCCAUUUUGCAGGCCUUUGGAAAUACGGAGGAGGAUUAUAACUCCAGCUUCUGCUCUCCAUAGCUCCUUUCCCCGGAGGAAACAUCCUUGGAACCCAGGGUGCUGCAGGGCUCUUCGCACAGCAAGGACAUGUAAAUGUCUCAGCAUCAUUAGGAUUGGGCAUUCCUUGAGUACUUGGGCAUGGAGAGCAGCAAAACGUAUAAGAACAUUCAGAGAACUCCAAUGCAGUGCAUCACUGGCUGUCCCUUUCUGCUCCUUCUCCAGACUCAGGGUGAGGAGUUCCAGGUGUCAGCUGCUGGUCCUUCACCUGGCCAUGGCUGGGGCUGUUUUCUGCACUUUGUCAUCGUAUUGCAGCACAGUGGCACUGAGUGACGUGACUUAGUGGGCAUGGUGGUGAAGGGCCGUGUUUGGACUUUGUGAUCUUAGAGAUCUUUGCCAACCUUUGUGAUUCUAUGGGACUCUGUCUAUGGUCUUGUCUAGAAUAAUAUAAAAUGUUGGAGCUAGUUCUCAAAGUAAGUUCCUCCUCUGUGGAGUUUGGUCUAAAACAAACUCUGAACAGAAACGCAUGUUUGGUGAAUGGUAUAGAAGGAACGUUGCUGUUUUACAGCUCCAUUCUGUGUAUCACCAGUCAGUAGUAUUGAUAUUUAAUAUUUUCCAUAGCUGUUUUAACUAGAUUUCCUGUCAUCUGCUGUUCUUUCUCUCCAGUAUUUUUAAACUGGUUUUUCUGUUCCAAAUCC
rnacentral:lncRNA from 1 species